ACGUCACAGGUUAAAAUGAAACUCUUUUCUGCAGUAACGGACAGAGAGCAGCGUCGAGGCGUCGCGAUAUUCUUCCUCGUCGCUUUCUGACGAGUGUAUAUAUGUAACAGCAAAGACGGCGGACGUUCUCUUUGAAACACCGAGACGACGAAUACUGUUCACUCCUUCGGGGAACAAGAUGAGCGUGUUUCAAAAUGGGACCGUAUUAUGGGCUGGGAGAGAAUGAGGGAACGAGAGAGCGAGAUGCGGAAAGAAGCGAAAGGAGGGGCAGGUAAAUGAAGCGGAGAUAAUGCAGGACUUUCGAUGUCCAACGAAAUGUUUCCCGUUCAAAUUGGAACAGAUUUCGUUCCGAGACAUCGAACUUUCACCUCGAACCACCGGUCACUCAGCAGUCCAUCCUUGUCACCCUGUGCUGUUUGAUCGCUCAGCAGGUAUUCGUAAGAACUUGGAGAGCUGAAUCUAGAGGAUGUGCGGUGUAUUGACGCUGUGUAGAAGGACCAACAGAAAGCAUCGGAGUCAUGUGCACGGCAGCUUUAGACAAUGAACAUACAUCUUAGGCAAUUUACACUUACGGCGAUUUGAUCAGGCUCCCUGAAAUGAACAGAGUAAAGCUUGAUUGAAACGAUUUGCUUGUAUCGUGAGAAAGAGAUGGAAAGUAUUCGACGCAUACGUUGUAUCACGCACCGAUGAAAAAUAAGAGAUUAAAUAAAAACCGUUGAAAUACCGGUAUGAAGUAAAAGUCAGAAAUAUUCGCCUGCACCCCUCAGCCUGCACGACGUCGAUAUUAUUACAGAGGAUUCACAUCUCCCCGGCAGACAACGUCUGUGGCAGCUCGGUGCCCAGUAACAGAAUGUGAAAGUCGCCGGUCAUCUGGUCAUCUUACGAUUUAAGUACACGUCUAUACGUCUGUGUGAUGCCCCGGUAGAUGUGUAGCCUGCCGCAGGUUAUACUAAAUAAUAUGCGAUAUAAUGCGAUUGCCCGUAAAAGAUACGAGGCACUGAUCAUGCAGCAUGUGAGCGAUUGGUCCAUGAUACAAACGUGUGUAACGAAUUAAUUCCACUGUAGCGGAAAUGAAAAAUAUUCAACG
rnacentral:lncRNA from 1 species